UUUUACACAAUAGUCCUUAUGAGUACCUUAUAGUUCUUGUGUACAUUAUCUAUAUAUCUCAGUUCAAUCCUGUGUGGUACAUCGAGGUACACAGUAUAUUGGAUCAUGCCCGGAUCAUAUAUUCAUGAACGACAGUAUAAGAGAAUUUAAGAGACGUAUGAAGGAAUCAUUCAAUUUACCAUUAGAGGAUGAUAUAAGACUAAUUUACACAAGACAAAAUCUUUACGAGGAGAAUGAAAACGGAAGGGAAAACUGUAUUUAUUAAAGUUAAGUUUUACUGUUAUAUGAUUUUUAUUCUAAAAUGAACAAAGCCAACAAUGUUAAUAACGGAGUUAUGAAAAAAUAUAGACCAUAAUAAUUAUUGAACAUAUUACGCUCUGGACGUAUUGUAAUACAUCGGUCUUCGCCGCUUAUUCCUUGCACAACAAUAUUUAUAUGAGUCAUUCGCGGAAUGCAUAAGGACGAACACUGCUAAAUUUGCGAUCGAAGUGUCCUUUUAUACCAUUAUACGCUUGAUGCUAUUUAUAGACACGUAUCAUAUAUGAACAGUCAUAUGAUUGUGUAAUGACAAGUGAGCUCCAUUAAUAUGAAAACAGGAAGUGGCGUAGUUCAACCAUUUAUAUUUGUAAACUGGGACAUUAAGCCGAAAUUGUACGUUAUAUGUGUAUUGCAAUUAAAUCUCAAUUAAACAAUCUACGUAUAAUAGGACUAAAAAUCAUGCAGGUAGAUGUAAAAGGGCAUUGAUGAAGAACGUUUAAAACGUCUCAAUUAAAUAGAUUUACUAUCAAAGCUGUAAUAUUUGCAAUAGAUUUAAAUACUUAUAACAUCAAGACUGUUUUUAUAUCGACCGACUUUACCGGGAUUCGAACCCGAAACUUCUUUAAGUAAAAUCUACUCAGACCAAAAAACUUUUAAAAACGCUGUUUUUAUAAUAUACGUUACGUGAACGUUUUGAUCGAAAAGCAUUACACAAGCUUUAUAAUUUAAAAGUUUUUGAUUGUAUGGUUAGCCGCAUAAGAACUGUUAUUGAAACUAUAUUUAAGCCAUGAAUGUUAAUUUGCUUACAAUGCUAUAAUGCCACUUUGUAAAAACCUGUCUGCCUAACCAAAGUUUUACCAUUCUAAUAUUUGGUGCAACACUGUCUGCAAGUAGACCCAAGUAAAUAAAUCAUAAAGUCACAUAAUGUAAUUUGAAACAAAUUCCUAAACACUGGUUGCCUAUUUUUUCGAGAUGAAUUGAGGUUGUUGCCAAUAAGACCUAUCUAUUGACUAUGUUUACUGAUUUUACUAAAACGGUUUGGGAGCUUUACAUCGGAAUGCAAUUUUUUUCCAUGAAAUUAUUUAGCAAUAAUCAUUUACCUCUUAACUAGGACGAUACCCGUGUUUUGAGGCUCUGUUUAUUCGUUUCACGAUACAAUUUUCCAUUACUCACAUGUAUCUUGUAUAUAGAUGUAUACGUAGAAAUGUUCUAGUUUUAAAACUAGCAAAACAUAACAGAAUGGUUGGUGUAGCUGCUUGAUGAUUAAUUGAUUACAUUGAGUUCAUCGCUAUAUUAUAAAUUUAUAAAAAUAAUUAUUUAUUUAAACUAUAUUAUAAAAUAUUGGUAUUACAAUUUGAGACAUAAUCCAUGUUUUCAUUCAAUCACCAUGUA